rnacentral:rRNA from 1 species
GUAGGUGGCAAGCGUUGUCCGGAAUUAUUGGGCGUAAAGCGCGCGCAGGCGGUUCUUUAAGUCUGAUGUGAAAGCCCACGGCUCAACCGUGGAGGGUCAUUGGAAACUGGAGAACUUGAGUACAGAAGAGGAAAGCGGAAUUCCACGUGUAGCGGUGAAAUGCGUAGAGAUGUGGAGGAACACCAGUGGCGAAGGCGGCUUUCUGGUCUGUAACUGACGCUGAGGCGCGAAAGCGUGGGGAGCAAACGAGGAUUAGAUACCCGUGGUAGUCCACGCCGUAAACGAUGAGUGCUAAGUGUUAGGGGGGUUUCCCGCCCCCCCGUUUAGUGCUGCAGCUAACCGCAUUAACGCACCCCCCGGCCUGGGGAUACGGCCGCAAGGCUG